rnacentral:rRNA from 1 species
GACGAACGCUGGCGGCGUGCUUAACACAUGCAAGUCGAACGGUAAGGCCCUUCGGGGUACACGAGUGGCGAACGGGUGAGUACACGUGGGUGAUCUGCCCUGCACUUCGGGAUAAGCCUGGGAAACUGGGUCUAAUACCGGAUAGGACCCUGGGAUGCAUGUCCUGGGGUGGAAAGCUUUUGCGGUGUGGGAUGGGGCCCGCGGCCUAUCAGCUUGUUGGUGGGGUGAUGGCCUACCAAGGCGACGACGGGUAGCCGGCCUGAGAGGGUGACCGGCCACACUGGGACUGAGAUACGGCCCAGACUCCGACGGGAGGCAGCAGUGGGGAAUAUUGCACAAUGGGCGCAAGCCUGAUGCAGCGACGCCGCGUGAGGGAUGACGGCCUUCGGGUUGUAAACCUCUUUCAGCACCGACGAAGCGCAAGUGACGGUAGGUGCAGAAGAAGGACCGGCCAACUACGUGCCAGCAGCCGCCGUAA